GGGCCCGCCACGCUGCGGGGCUUCGCGCAGCGCGGUGUAGGGCCCCGGGCUGACGGCCUCGCGCUUGGCGGUACUAUGUACUGGGCGAGCGGCGUGCACGUGUACGCGCCGCUGCCGUUCGUGUCGCGCGGCGGGCUGGCCGACCUCUUCCGCUCGCACCUCUUCCUCAACGCCGGCUGCCUCGCGCACCCCGAGGAGGGCGAGUCGGUAACGUCCGCGCUGUC